GUGUUGUUUGUUAAGGGCACACGGUGGAUGCCUUGGCAUUAUGAGCCGAUGAAGGACGUGUAAGGCCGCGAUAGGCCUCGGGGAGUUGCCAAUAGAGCGUUGAUCCGAGGGUGUCCGAAUGGGGAAACCUGGCCAUGGUUAUGUGUGGUUACCCAUCAGUGAAUUCAUAGCUGGUGUGGGGGUGACGCGGGGAAGUGAAACAUCUCAGUACCCGUAGGAGAAGAAAAUAAUUAAUGAUUCUGCUAGUAGUGGCGAACGAACGUGGAUGAGGCUAAACCGUAUGCGUGUGAUACCUGGCAGGGGUUGCGUGUGUGGUGUUGUGGGGCGUUGUUGGAGGAGGCUGCCGGCUCCUCGCUUGUUAUAUGUGUGUGUUAGCGGAAGUGGUUUGGAAUGGCCUGCCGUAGUGGGUGAGAGUCCCGUACGUGAAAACAUGUGCAUGCGAGUGGAUGAUGUUCCCGAGUAGCAGCGGGCUCGUGGAAUCUGCUGUGAAUCUGCCGGGACCACCCGGUAAGCCUAAAUACUUAUGAUGACCGAUAGCGGAUUAGUACCGUGAGGGAAUGGUGAAAAGUACCCCGGGAGGGGAGUGAAAUAGUACCUGAAACCGUGUGCUUACAAUCCGUCAGAGCCUUUUUGUUAGGUGAUGGCGUGCCUUUUGAAGAAUGAGCCUGCGAGUCAGCGGCAUGUCGCGAGGUUAACCCGUGUGGGGUAGUCGUAGCGAAAGCGAAUCCUAAUGAGGGUGUUUUUAAGUGGCAUGUCCUGGACCCGAAGCGGGGUGAUCUACCCAUGGCCAGUGUGAAGCAGCUGUAAGAGGUUGUGGAGGCGCGAACCCACUUAGGUUGAAAACUGAGGGGAUGAGCUGUGGGUAGGGGUGAAAGGCCAAUCAAACUCCGUGAUAGCUGGUUCUCCCCGAAAUGCAUUUAGGUGCAGCGUUGUGUGUUUCUUGCUGGAGGUAGAGCUACUGGUUGGUUGAGCGGGACUACAAUCUUAGCAAUGUCAGCCAAACUCCGAAUGCCGGUAAUGUUAAGCAUGGCAGUGAGACUGCGGGGGAUAAGCUCCGUUGGUCGAGAGGGAAACAGCCCAGAUCGCCGGUUAAGGCCCCUAAGGGUGUACUAAGUGGAAAAGGAUGUGGGAUCGCGAAGACAGCCAGGAGGUUGGCUUAGAAGCAGCCAUCCUUGAAAGAGUGCGUAAUAGCUCACUGGUCGAGUGGUUCUGCGCCGACAAUGUAGUGGGGCUCAAGUACACCGCCGAAGCCGCGGCAGUCAACAAUUUUUUUGUUGGUUGGGUAGGGGAGCGUCGUGCACUGCUGUGAAGCACCUGGGUGACUUGAUGGUGUGGAGUGUGUGCGAGUGAGAAUGCAGGCAUGAGUAACGAAUGAAAAGUGGAAAACUUUUCCGCCGGAUGACUAAGGGUUCCUGGGUUAAGCUAAUCUUCCCAGGGUGAGUCGGGACCUAAGGCGAGGCCGACAGGCGUAGUCGAUGGAUAACCAGUUGAUAUUCUGGUACCCGUGUAUGUGCGCCCAGUGGUGAAUCAGUGGUACUAACCAUCCAUUGAUCUGCUGGUCAUGCUUUGUGUGUGGUUGGUGGUGAUGUGCGUGGGAUCUUCGUUGGUAGUAGCCAAGUGAUGGGGUGACGCAGUGAGGUAGCUGAGCCAUGUAGUGGAUUGUGGUGUAAGCGUGUGGCCCGUGGCAUAGGUAAAUCCGUGUCGCAUUUGUGGGUGAGGCGUGAUGCGUAGACCGUUGUGGUUGAUGUUGGUGAUCCUGUACUGUCGAGAAAAGCCUCUAGCGAGUGCAUAUAUGGCCCGUACCCAUAACCGACACAGGUGGUCAGGUAGAGAAUACUAAGGCGAUCGGGUGAACUGUGGUUAAGGAACUCGGCAAAUUGCCCCCGUAACUUCGGGAGAAGGGGGACCAUUGCUGGUGACCGACGUGGUUGAGCUGGUGGUGGUCGCAGAGAAUAGAGGGAAGCGACUGUUUAUUAAAAACACAGGUCCGUGCGAAAACGUGGAAGUUGAUGUAUACGGACUGACGCCUGCCCGGUGCUGGAAGGUUAAGAGGACCUGUUAGGGCAUUUUU
rnacentral:rRNA from 1 species